AUUCAAGAAAUCGAGGCAUUUGCAGAGUAAUGUUGAUCAGCUGGAGAUACCUCACACAUAUUCUAUACCCAAUGGACUAGAGGCAGCUGCUCAAGGAACUACACAUUGUACUUAUUAUAUCCACUACAUUUUUCAAUCUAUGCCCCCACCACUUUUAAGGCAUGAUAACACAAGCAAUUUUCUCUGCAAUUUGUCUCACAAUGGCUUUGGGACACAAGUUGCAUAGAACAUUGCAGUGAGCAACCUGCAACGCAAUUUGGAAAAUGUUGCAAGGCAAGUUACAGAGCAAUGCCAUAGAAUAGGAUUUGUUUCUAUGUUGGCAAUGAUUGCAAAUGAGAUGCACCAUAUCAUCAUUCUUGCACCUUGUGUUGCAACUCUGUUGCAGGGGUUGCAGGGCAGGUUGCAGAGAAAAUUCCUCAGUUUAUAUGCACCUUUAGCACGACUUGUCUAGUAUAUUUUCUAAUCUAAGCCUAUACAUGUAUGCAUCACUGUUAGCAUUUGUUUGUGUAGAGGGAAAGGACCUUCAAAUGUCAAACAAUAAAACAAAUAUAUUGUG
rnacentral:lncRNA from 1 species